AAAGAGUGUAGCUAACUUUUCCCCAGCAUCUUAGGAUGUUUUUGAUGCUGAGAUCAAAGAUAUCAAUGAAUCAGAGACAGAAGCAAGUAUGGCAUGGAGAAGUAGGCUGUCUUGACGAAGCCUAAUUGCAUAAGCAGGAUUGGGUUUUGUGGUUUGAUCAGAUGCUAUGGUAGAUGGAGGACAUGGAAGUGUUCCAUUAACAUAUCCAGUUAAAUCUAGACCAAUAAGGAGGGCAAGA
rnacentral:misc_RNA from 1 species